GGGUGAUUAGCUCAGGUGGUUAGAGCGCGACACUGAUAAUGUCGAGGUCCCAAGUUCGAGUCUUGGAUCACCCA
rnacentral:tRNA from 1 species